AGUGGCGGACGGGUGAGUAACGCGUGAGAAUCUGCCCUUAGGACGGGGACAACAGCUGGAAACGGCUGCUAAUACCCGAUGUGCCGAGAGGUGAAACAUUUAUGGCCUGAGGAUGAGCUCGCGUCUGAUUAGCUAGUUGGUGGGGUAAGAGCCUACCAAGGCAACGAUCAGUAGCUGGUCUGAGAGGAUGAUCAGCCACACUGGGACUGAGACACGGCCCAGACUCCUACGGGAGGCAGCAGUGGGGAAUUUUCCGCAAUGGGCGCAAGCCUGACGGAGCAAGACCGCGUGCGGGAGGACGGCCUAUUGGUUGUAAACCGCUUUUGAUAGGGAAGAAGUUCUGACGGUACCUAUCGAAUCAGCAUCGGCUAACUCCGUGCCAGCAGCCGCGGUAAUACGGAGGAUGCAAGCGUUAUCCGGAAUUAUUGGGCGUAAAGCGUCCGUAGGUGGUUGUUCAAGUCUGCUGUUAAAGCGUGCGGCUUAACCGCAUAUCAGCAGUGGAAACUGGACGACUAGAGUGCGGUAGGGGUCAGGGGAAUUCCCAGUGUAGCGGUGAAAUGCGUAGAUAUUGGGAAGAACACCGGUGGCGAAAGCGCUUGACUGGACCUGCACUGACACUGAGGGACGAAAGCUAGGGGAGCGAAAGGGAUUAGAUACCCCUGUAGUCCUAGCCGUAAACGAUGGACACUAGGUGUUG
rnacentral:rRNA from 1 species